CACAUGCAGUCGAACGGAGUUCUUCGGAACUUAGUGGCGGACGGGUGAGUAACACGUGAGAACCUACCUUCAGAAUGGGGACAACAGUUGGAAACGACUGCUAAUACCCAAUGUGCCGAAAGGUGAAAGAUUUAUCGUCUGAAGAUGGGCUCGCGUCUGAUUAGCUAGAUGGUGGGGUAAGAGCCUACCAUGGCAACGAUCAGUAGCUGGUCUGAGAGGAUGAGCAGCCACACUGGGACUGAGACACGGCCCAGACUCCUACGGGAGGCAGCAGUGGGGAAUUUUCCGCAAUGGGCGAAAGCCUGACGGAGCAAUACCGCGUGAGGGAGGAAGGUCCUUGGAUUGUAAACCUCUUUUAUCAGGGAAGAAGUUCUGACGGUACCUGAUGAAUAAGCAUCGGCUAACUCCGUGCCAGCAGCCGCGGUAAUACGGAGGAUGCAAGCGUUAUCCGGAAUUAUUGGGCGUAAAGCGUCCGUAGGUGGUUAUGCAAGUCUGCCGUUAAAGAAUGGAGCUUAACUCCAUAGGAGCGGUGGAAACUGCAAAACUAGAGUACAGUAGGGGUAGCAGGAAUUCCCAGUGUAGCGGUGAAAUGCGUAGAUAUUGGGAAGAACAUCGGUGGCGAAAGCGUGCUACUGGGCUGAAACUGACACUGAGGGACGAAAGCUAGGGUAGCGAAAGGGAUUAGAUACCCCUGUAGUCCUAGCCGUAAACGAUGGAUACUAGGCGUGGCUUGUAUCGACCCGAGCCGUGCCGAAGCUAACGCGUUAAGUAUCCCGCCUGGGGAGUACGCACGCAAGUGUGAAACUCAAAGGAAUUGACGGGGGCCCGCACAAGCGGUGGAGUAUGUGGUUUAAUUCGAUGCAACGCGAAGAACCUUACCAAGGCUUGACAUCCCUGGAAUCCUGCGGAAACGUGGGAGUGCCUUAGGGAGCCAGGAGACAGGUGGUGCAUGGCUGUCGUCAGCUCGUGUCGUGAGAUGUUGGGUUAAGUCCCGCAACGAGCGCAACCCUCGUUUUUAGUUGCCAUCAUUAAGUUGGGCACUCUAGAGAGACUGCCGGUGACAAACCGGAGGAAGGUGGGGAUGACGUCAAGUCAUCAUGCCCCUUACGCCUUGGGCUACACACGUACUACAAUGGUCGGGACAACGGGCAGCGAGCUCGCGAGAGUAAGCGAAUCCCAUCAAACCCGGCCUCAGUUCAGAUUGCAGGCUGCAACUCGCCUGCAUGAAGGAGGAAUCGCUAGUAAUCGCAGGUCAGAAUACUGCGGUGAAUUCGUUCCCGGGCCUUGUACACACCGCCCGUCACACCAUGGGAGCUGGUCACGCCCGAAGUCGUUACUCUAACCUUAGGGAGGAGGGCGCCGAAGGCAGGGCUAGUGACUGGGGUGAAGUCGUAACAAGGUAGCCGACCG
rnacentral:rRNA from 1 species